rnacentral:lncRNA from 1 species
GGACUUUUAUGUACAGGUGUCUACAAUACAAUAUGUAUCUUCAUCCAUCAUGUUAUUAAAUUCAAUGUCUUCUUUACAGAUAUGUAUUUAGAAAAAAAUAUUUUACAGUAAUUUAAAGCAAGUUAUGUCCCAUGGUUGGAAAACAUACUGGUUCAUUGCAAUACAGAUGACUUAAGGGCAUACGAUACAGUUACAGAGGAGGUAAUGACGUUGCUAACGUAAAAUGUUAUUUUCGCGACGUCAAACUGUGACAUAUCGGGAAAAGAUGUAUUUUUCGACUGAUUUUUAGCAUUCAAACUGAUUUAAUUUGAAAACGAGUUCAUGGACCCCUAUUUUUCAAAACAGCAAUUUGUUUCAUUUUGCAGGGAGAUUAUGUGAUCCAAAUUUUAUAAAACUGUAAAUAGCGCAAUUUUUUUAAUUUUGAUAAACAUGCAGC